CUUGACCGCCAUGUUUGAAGCGGGCGGAAAAAAAUUACGGGGCGUGCAGUGUCACGUGACUGCUCGGAUUUUUUUUUUUUUUUUUUUUUUUUUUUUUUUUUUUUUUUUUUGUCACGUUGUCUGUGGAUCCUUUCUUAUUUCUGUGUUGAAUUCCAGCCUGGGUAUUCGGAACCUAUGGUUACAGCUGGGGCUACGAGAUGAUGUCUCACAAUGUUGCCCAGGCUGGUCUUGAACUCCUGGACUCAAGUGAUCCUCCCACCUUGGCCUCCCAAUGUACCAGGAUUACAGCUGACCCUUGAACAACACGAGUUUGAACUGCCUGGGAUCACUUAUCCCUGGAUUUUCUUCCACCUCUGCCGCCCCUGAAACAGCAAGACCAAACCCUCCUCUUCCUCCUCUUCCUCAGCCUACUCAACCUGAAGACGACGAGGAUGAAGACCCUCAUGAAGAUCCACUUUCACUUCAUGAACAUAUGGAGUGCUAAACGUUCACUUUGAGGACCUCUGCUCUACUCCAACCUCAAGGAGCCUCCACUGCCAUGGCCUUGCUGCUGCCCUUGGCUCUUGGCCCCCUUGGCCCAGCAGCCUUGUUGGCAUCUUGUUGGCAGCACACCAGAGUGGACAGAACCAAGGACUGAACCCCAAUCAAUAGAAGUGUAUGUGGCUGUGGCCUACCCCAGGACACCCGGCCCAGGUGCCUGAGACCAGCCACAACCUCUGGCCUGAGGGCACCUUUUCCAAUGCAUACCAUGGUACCUCAUGGGCUACCGACGGCCCUACGGCACCUGGCACAGAAACAAGAAGCAAAACAAAGCAAAUAUAAAUAUGUGCUCUGCCAAUCGGGCUCCUCUGUCAGACUUAAACCAAGAGUGUGGCAGGGAGCUCCCACAUGUCAAGAAAUCUGCAGAAAGACAGAGUGGACUCGGGGUUGAAGGGCCAGCAAUGGCCACGCACAAACCUGCAACCAUGAGCAGGAACUCUGACCAAAGGAAAUGGCAGCCGGACGAGGGGCAGAGAUAAUCAUCUGGGUACCCCAGUCCAGAGCCGUAGGAAUAGCUACCUCUGGUCCUUCAGGACCAGCUGUAUGCCCAGCCAGGUUCCCAGGAGGCCGUGGCAGCCCAGCACCAGCCCACUCCUCACCUGGGCCCCACCACGGACUCACUUGGCACAGUACAGAAAAUGGUCCUUCCAGUCGACUUGGGAGGUCUGCCCCAUCAGUGUC